GAGGGGGCAAGCGUUGUUCGGAAUUACUGGGCGUAAAGGGCGCGCAGGCGGCUGCUCAAGUCAGGCGUGAAAGGCCUGGGCUCAACCCGGGAAUUGCGCUUGAGACUGGGCUGGCUUGAGUGCGGGAGAGGAUGGUGGAAUUCCCAGUGUAGAGGUGAAAUUCGUAGAUAUUGGGAAGAACACCGGUGGCGAAGGCGGCCAUCUGGACCGCAACUGACGCUGAGGCGCGAAAGCGUGGGGAGCAAACAGGAUUAGAUACCCUGGUAGUCCACGCCGUAAACGAUGAGCGCUAGACGUUGGGGGGCCUAGCCUUCCGGUGUCGCAGSKRACGCAUUAAGCACUCCGCCUGGGGAGUACGGCCG
rnacentral:rRNA from 1 species